GUGCUUGGGCAACACAUGUACUAAAAUUGGAACAAUUCAGAGAAGAUUAGCAUGGCUCCUGGUGAGGAUAACAUGGAAGUUCGUGAAGUAUUCCAUAGUUUU